rnacentral:lncRNA from 1 species
CAUUGAUUUGUAAGUUACUUAUGAAGGACAGAACCCUUUGUAACACAGGAAGAUAUUUUUAGAAAGCCAUAUUCUGAAAUCAAUGCUCCUGACAUGAUACUGCGACUUCAUAAUUGGCCCUCCUCAGCCCGGUGCCGGAGGGUAGGAACUGCGCAGAAAAUACAGAUGCAGACAGAUGUUAACCUCCCCGAACUCAGGCUGCUGACAGUUUAAAUUAAGAGAUAAGCCAAGUAAUAAACAAACAGAUGCCACAUCAUUUGAAAGGUCAUAGGAGAGUUAUAGGCAAGGCUUGGGGAGGGCCCAGCUGGGGAGGGUUGGCUCUGGGCAGGGAGGGCAGGAAGGGCUCCGCUUUCUUCCCUGGUGAUCCUGGUUUUCUGCUGUGGUUGUCCUGGGCUCUUUGGCAUUUUCUCAUCACUGUAUAAGUAGGUUCUGAGGUACCGUCUUUAGAAAGAGCAUGGUGGACUCUGCCGAGAUGUCCUGGAGUUAGGAAUAUAGCAGAGCAGGGGGGUGGGAGAGAUGUUUAUUUUCAUUUACCAGCCGCACGCAUUCCAUCCCGCCCUGGCAGACCACGGGGGCGGGACCCCGGGCCCCACUCGGGAGGGCGCUUUACAGUAACUGGGUUUAGGCUAAAGCCCCAAAGCAACUGGCAGGCUUUGAGGGGCUGUAAGUGGGGAAGCUACACUUCCUAUUUGUGCUGUGGAAGUGCUUCGGCGGCCGUGUGGAGGGUGGACUAAAGGCGAGCAAAAUGGGGAGGGGGAAACCCGUGUGGGGGCUACCGGGGAAGGAGAUGCCAGGUGGGCCUGAACUGAGGUCCACGUGUGGCAUGAAGAGGGUCACAGAGGACGGAACCGGUGACAAUUUGCACGUGGAGGAUGGUGAGGGAGCGUGAGUUACAAGUGGGGAGAAGCAAAUUUGGGAAGAGUUUAGUGGAGAAGAGGCAGCUGUGGGACUCAGAACGGAGACCCAGAAAAGAGCCACAAACGUGAGUCCAGAGCCUAUGGGCAGCUCUCAGCUGGACCUCUAAGGCUGUGCCCAUCCCGCUGUUGUUCAGCUGCAGCCCUGGAAACGGAUGGCCUUGUCCUUGCAGUGGUGGAAUGAGCAGCAGAACUGGCCCAGAACCCCAGGAAAACCAGCAGAGGAAGAGGCACGGUGGCAGAGCAAGAAUCCUGGGCCAGGUGCCUCCGCCCACAGGCUCUGAAACGCUGCAAUAAUGUGUCAAAACGGACCUGAGACUCCUUCUUCAGCUCACUUGGCCAACCUGAGCUCAAUGUUUUCAAAGACUGUCUCCGCUGUUUCUCUUCCUGGUGUCACAGCCCCCACCCAGUCAGACUGUGUUUCUCACGACUCGUUCUUUACGGCUGCAGAAACCAGCCGCAGUGUGUGGCAUCUCUGUCACCAGGUUCGUUUGGUGACUUUGCACAAUCCCAACCAGCCCUCUAUUUCUCUGCAUACAUCCUCUUUGUGCCACCCAUGGCCCCAUGGAGAAAAUAUUUCAACAUAAGGGAGUAUAUUCACCCACACCCUCUAAGUGUUUGUGCUUUCGUUGAAUGAGGCACGUCCACCAGCUGCCCCGGACUCCCAGCUGGGGGUGGGGCAGGUUGGGCCGACGGGGCGCCAGAUGGCAAUGACUGGUCUGCCAGACAAGUGUGUCUGACCCUGCCUUACGGAGAGGGCAUUUUCAGCGACUGUUCGGGGGGACUUGCUCUUCCUUUAUGAUGAUCCAUUUUUCCACUUGGCAGGACUGCCUUCCCAGAGCGCUUACUUACACUAGGGGCUGAGUCACACUUUGGAAAAUUAAUUAUUCACCAUCCUGUAUCAUCGGUGGGAUCCCCAAAUGUAUUAUAAGUUCCCUGAGGCGGCCAGAGGCCACCGCACACUUCUCGAGGAGUCCCCAGGGGCCUGGGGCUGGCCUGCACCUGUGGGAGGCCUCGGUGAAGGGCAGUGAAUCAGGGAAUGUGAGCACCGGGGCCACGGGCAGGCCUCACAAGCAGGGAAACUGGCCACAGAGGUUCAGCACUGUGUCCACACAGCCACAGAAAAGAACGGAGGUAGGAGGUAGAUGGGGCCCUGGCCUAACAAGAGCUGGGACCAUCAGGCUGAGUCAAUGGGCCAGGCUUCCCUCUGACACAUCAAGGAGAAAGUGAAGGGCAGGAGCUGGGCUCUGCUGGAGCAGAAAGAUAAGACGACCACUUCAACCACUCCUGGGGUCAAGGAGAGCUCCCCAGCCACGCAUGCGCAGUAAGGCACCUAGGGGUCAAAAGGGAGGGGGUGCCAGGCCAUAAGAAGUCCUGAUACCAUCCCAGAACCCUUUGCUCUGGAAUCCAUUUUUGGCAAAAGAUGCUUACGCCUUUCGGGGAGGGCCCUGGAGAAUUAGGAUCUUGGUCCAAACCAUCACGCACUGCUGCCUCUCCCAGGUCAGAACCAGGACUACUGAGCAAGGAAGGGAGCGAAGCAGGGCCGUGACUCAUCGAGAGCUCCAUCCCGGCCAGGCUGCCCGCACUCAGCCGUGUGAGCUUGAGGGAGUGAUCCCCUGUCUCCUCUUCUAUAAAACAGAGACGGCAGGAGAAGCCCAGCUCAGGGCCAGGGCGAAGACGAAAUGGGCGGAUCCAGGGAAAGUGAAAAAGCCAUAUCAACUCCAUGAAAUCUUUGGUACUUCGGAGUAUUUAGUACAAAUUUGCUGAAUAACGUUUUCACUUUAACUCUACCCACAGUGCAAUUGGGAAUAGGGGCUUCUUGUUCUCCAAGUGCAGGAUUGUUCCUUCCAGAGACAGAGGCCCCCAAGGAUUUGACCACCGUCCAGGCUGCGCUGAAACCGAAACAUCUGUGGUCAGGGCAGUGACCAGCAGCCAAGCCCAGAUGCCAGGAAUGGGUGUCAAGUCAUGCAUCCAGGGGCAGACGGAGACGGGGUCUCUGCCACACUGUGAAGGAAGCGGGGUGAGGUCCAUGCUGGGUGCAGGUGUGGGAGAAGAGGGACAGGGAGCCUUGCUCCCCAGAGCCCCUCUCACUCCUUGGACCCAGGCUGUGUUCUCUUGUAAUAGGGAAGAACAAAUCUGACUCCAUAUUGGAUCUCUUCUACUCCCAUGUUUGUAUUCUAUUGCUUUUGCUACAAGUAAAGAAUGUUGCCUCUAGCCUGAAAUAUACAGGAGAGCCCACGAAGUUUUUAACACUUUCCCAUUCCUACAGAGAUUAGUUACAUUUGUUUUGUUGGAGUUUCACAGGAACACUGUGACCUGACCCACACGGGUCCUUUGCAAGCACAAAGGAUUCCAGCACCAAGAAGGUGGCAGCAACCCUCAGGCCUCUUCCUCCAUCACUGCUCUCACUUAUUCUUUACUGGCUGGUGACAAAGCCACCAUCCACUGCUGCCCGGAAUGAGGCUUCAGCGCUUUCAUGGGAUUUCCAAGCAGUGAGACACAGGACUCAGGACUCCAACCCUAAAUGCAUAUGAAGUAGGUGGGACCCCGCCAAGUAUAAUGUUCUUCUCAUGGCCCCUUGCUCCUCACAGGAGGCCCCACGGUGUCAUUCUUCCCAGGAGAGUCUGUGGCUUUGGGGAGAGUCUGUGUCUGCAAUUCUGGAUUCUGGCACCGGUAUGCUGAUGAUGCCACCAGAAUUCCCCUUCCACUCCCUAGCCACCCUUGAAAGUCCAGCUGGCUUCCGGGCUCCCCCUCACAGGUUCAUCCCUGUGAAAUCCGCAAGAUCAGCAGAGGGCCCUUGCCUCGCCCUGCACUCUGCUCCCUCCCCCUGGGUCAGGACACUCACUCCCAGCUCAGCAUCUCAUACCGCCCUGUCUCCUGACUGCCCGCUGCUCCUUCUCCUGCUGAUACUCAGUAAAGGCUAACAUUUACAGAGGGUUUGCCGUAUGCAGACGCAGUGUCAAACUCUCCUACAUAUUCUCAUCGCAUCCCCAUUUAAACAGCUCCUGGCACAUGGGGGCGGGGGUGGGGGUGUGUGUCUAUAAAUACUUCUUGACCAGAUGCAUCCUCUGGACAGUCUUUUGUGGGAGGUGCUAUUAAUCUCUCCAUUGCAUAGAUGAGAAAAUUAGGGCUCAGAGAUGUGAAAUAAUCAGCUCAAAGUCACAAUGACAAGUGUCAGAGCUAAGACAAAUCUAAGAGAAUUCUGUUUCUAGGCCUUAUAUACUCCUUGUUGUUAUUCUGAAGUUUAUUCAUUCACUUAACAAAUAUAAUUUCAGAAUCUACUGUUUCAGGAACCAUUCCAGAUUCAGGGAUGUGGCAGAAAAUAAAAGAGAGAAGAGUUCCUGCUGUGAGUCAGUGGGUUACAAACCUGACUAGGAUCCAUGGGGAUGCGGGUUGGAUCCCCAGCCUCGCUCACUGGGUUAAGGAUCCAGCUCAGUUGCAGGGAGCUGUGGUGUAGGUUACAGAUGUGGCUCAGAUCCUCUGUUGCUGUGGCUGUGAGGUAGGUCAGAAGCUGAAGCUCCCACUCAACCCUAGCCUGGGAACUUCCAUAUGCCGUAGGUUCGGCCCUGAAAAGCCACAAAAAAAAAAAAAAAAAAAAAAAA